GAUCACCAACACCGGGCACUUCCCCGCAUCUUUCCGUGUCGAUGGAUAUGUCCUGUAUAACACAGGCUUCAGCGUGUGCCUGGAGCGUGUGAAGCGCCUGCCCUCCUGUGAGAGCAAGACAUUUGAAGUGUGCUUCGACCCACAAAGUGCCAACCUGCCCCUGGGAAAAGUGGAUGUGCUCCUGCCCAUCAAGGUCAGAGGAGGCCCCACAUUCCAGGUCCGCCUCCGUGCCAUGGUGGCUGAGCCGUCCCUCU